UGGGACUGGUCGGGACGGUCAUGAUCCGAGCUGCUAAUGCGGUUUGGGUUCGCGCCCAUCGGGAGUUCAAAUCUCCCAGCCUCCGCCA
rnacentral:tRNA from 1 species